UCCCAUUUUUCUCCAGCUGCCAUCUGUCAAGAGGCACUGGCCACCUAAACCUCAUCUAAGAUUCCAAAGGUCAAUUCGAUCAGAGGCAGCAGCAGAAACAACCAGGAACCAACCGACACACCAAAUAGUACCUAGUUCCAUGUUUGUGGCAAGGAAGAAUCUGCUCUAGACCUUCAGGUACAGAAACCAUCAUUGUGUUUU
rnacentral:lncRNA from 12 species